UACGUAGGGGCUAGCGUUAUCCGGAAUUACUGGGCGUAAAGGGUGCGUAGGUGGUUUCUUAAGUCAGAGGUGAAAGGCUACGGCUCAACCGUAGUAAGCCUUUGAAACUGGGAAACUUGAGUGCAGGAGAGGAGAGUGGAAUUCCUAGUGUAGCGGUGAAAUGCGUAGAUAUUAGGAGGAACACCAGUUGCGAAGGCGGCUCUCUGGACUGUAACUGACACUGAGAAGCGAAAGCGUGGGGAGCAAACAGGCUUAGAUACCCUGGUAGUCCCUGAG
rnacentral:rRNA from 1 species